UGAGCAAGGGUUUCAAAAAAAAAAGUUAGAAAAAUCAAAAACAAAGCUUUAUAGCCACUUCAGAAAGCCUGGAUGUUUAACCUGUAAGGAAGUCUGUCAAAUCCUUGUGGAAACCAUAUAGAGAAAAGAUCAAUAGGAUACCUACUGGCUCCAUUAGCUUGAUGUAAAAGGGGGCGAGGGAAGCUGCUCUUCCACAAGAGAAGCUACAUUAUUCCAGGGAUUAUGCGGGAUCAGUUCACUUUGCAGAGAAGAAGAAGAGAAAAUGAAUGAAGAUUCUUGGUGGGCCAAGACUGCAGAGAAAGGGCUUGUCAGGUUGAGCUUUAAUUCCUUUCACUGGGAUUCAUCACUUCCUUAUAAAAUUUCAUUUUCUUGGUUGUUCAGUAGAAGAGUGACAAGAGGACACCACUGCUAUUCUCCAGAUUUUAGAGAAGAACAAUUGAACUUUUUUUUUUAACACAAUGAAGAUAACACCAACAUAUCUUGAACUUGGCAGAUGGAACUAGGCUACUGAUACUCUUCUAGUAAGGACAAAAGUCUGGAGUUAGAAGGCUGUUGGCAGUGGUUCAGAGGACCAGCUCUGUUAAGGCCAGUAAGUCUCCAAUUCUCAAGCUUUUCACCUCAUUGCCACAAGUUUGCUGUUGCAGCUCACAACGUCAUACCCACUUUCAAGAUGGGAAGAAAGGAGACAGAGUGAUUCCAGCCCUGUAUCUCCUUUGUAUAAAGAAAGCAAAAACGUUUUAGAAACCCCAUAACAGAAUUUCACUGAUUUCUAAUUAGCCAAAACUGUAUCACACAACCUUCCUUUGAUAUAAGAGAAGCCAGGAAAGCAAGUAGUUUAGUGGAACACAUAUAAAAAUUCCCAGA
rnacentral:lncRNA from 1 species